UCUCUCUUUCUCCUUCCCUCUCUCUCCCACGCUGACUCUGACUCUCAGUGCGCUGUAGAGAGAGGAGCGAGGUGCACACGUUGAGCGCGGCAACUCUACAGGGGGGUGGGAGUGAGCGAGCAGCAGACACAGCAGCCGCUACGAGCCAGCCUUUCCACGGCACGCGCGCAGCCAGGAGAAGGAGAGCCGAAGACGAAAGAAGAAGAGAAGAGGAGGAGCACUAAAAGGGGCAAAUUAACUCCCCACCGCCGCGCCGGGGCUCCGUACCGCCACAGAGAGAGACACACAGCGAGGGACAAGACAGUGACAGAGAGAGAUACAGAGUGGGAGAGAGAGAGAGAGGUAUACAGAGAGAGAGAGAGAGGAGAAGAGGAGGAGGCAGAGGCAGAAGCUUCCGUCUGUGGUUGAAGCAGCAGUGAGCGGAUCAGUGUCUUUACAACCCACAGAACCUGGAUAGUUUUGCGCUUCUGACUCGUGCGUAUUUGUGCUCUUUCUGGCUGUCCCGUUCCCUCUGUGUGUGUGUGCGCGCGCAGGAGUUUUUAAGGAUUUUCAAGUGGCAGCUACACCAAAAAGGACAAGAGGACAGAGACAGUAUUUCAUCCUCUGCUGUGGCAUUUGCUUUUUUGGGUUUAUUUUUUGUCUUUAGUGAGUGGUAAUUGUCCUGGUCGAGGGAUCUGCCAUCUGGGAAUCGCUUGUUGUUCUCUCACUAUGGAUGGAUUUAAGAGAGUGAAGUGAGAGAGCUGGACAGGCAGCAACACUGACUGAGCGUCUUCUGUUCUGGACUCGCUGCUCAGACUCUGGGGGCUCUGCCAUGUCCUGGUUGUUGGCAGUGUGGAUAAGCCUGGGCUUCCUACUGGCGUGCCAGGCCACGCUCUACCAGACCAUCCAGCAGCACCAUGUGGCCCGUCCCGGCCGCACCGACAUCCUCACGCUCGAGGGAGGGACGUGUGAGGUGAUCGCAGCCCAUCGGUGCUGUAACAAGAACCGCAUCGAAGAGCGCUCCCAGACCGUUAAGUGCUCCUGUUUGCCGGGAAAAGUGGCCGGAACGACGCGCAACAAGCCUUCAUGCGUUGACGCAUCCAUUGUGAUCGGGAAGUGGUGGUGUGAGAUGGAGCCGUGCCUGGAGGGAGAAGAGUGCAAGACUCUGCCUGACAACUCUGGAUGGAUGUGCUCCUCUGGAAACAAAAUCAAGACCACGAGGAACACCCAGCCAUACUCUCCUUUUUAGCUUCCUGAAGCAAAAUGCAGAGGAUGCUACAACAGAAAUUGAGCUGCAUUCUUGCUUCUGUAAAGAUUCAUCCCGGGACCUAACGGACAGCGCUACACGUUGAUCACCGUGCCAGCCCCCCCCCCCCUACCGCCCACCAACACCCCUUCCCCUCCAACCCUCAGACCCUCGGACCCUCAGGGCCCACCGCCCCCCCCCACGCCCCCUGAGACUGUGCUCCACCGCCAUAUCAACUAGAUAUACUGUCUCCAUGGACACUGGAUGACCGAGGAUUACCAGGGAUUGAAGGAGGGAUUCCAUCUCGAGUCAAAUAAACAGCUUUGCCUGCGUGUUGCCAAGGAUUCAAAACUGAUCUUAAUCCACCCUCCCCCCCACUCACACACACACACACACACAUUUGUUGAUCUAUGAGCCCCGUGUUGGUAACUCUCUCCCCCCCCCCCCCCACUCCCUCUCCAGGGAGAAGAAGGACUUGAAAGCAAGAAGGGUUAUUUUAAAGGCUGUGAGGACAUUAUGUAAAGCCCUGCCCCCCCUCGCCCACCACCCCUCAGUCAGACCAGAGCAAACGAGCUGCGCUGCUCGUAUGAAUCUGAACAAUGGACAUCUCACGGGAGGCAAAUGGAGGUUGGAAUUACGUAAAUAUCAGUAAUCUGUUUUUUCCCUCUUUUUUUUUUAUCUUUCUUUCUUUUCCGUCCUCAUCCCGGUGGGAAGCCUUUCUAGAAUAAAAAGUGCCGCCCUGGCAUGUCGGCUUACUGACCAAUCGCUUUGUGAAGAAGACCGGGGGGGGAAAGAACCUGGGAACAUGCAGUGAGCACGCUCAGCUGCCGGCUCAUCAUAAAGUUAAUAAACACAGGUCAAGAGGUCACAAGGUCGCAAGGUUAAGGGGUUGUAAGGUCAGGAGGUUAGUGUCCCAGCGGCAUCACAUCUCAUCGCUCUAUGAUUGACAUGUCAGGUGAACUUUCAUUUGGCAGCAUGCUCUGUGUAACUCAUGGCCCCAUUCCUUUUUCUUUGUACGUAAGAUAAACCCUAGAGUCUAUACACGUCUAUCUAUAUAUAUAUAUAUAUGAAUAUAUAUAGAUGAAUAUAUAGAUGACAUGUAAGAAUACAUAAUGAUCAAGACGGAAAUCGCCCAGGGCUCGUGUACAGAACUGCUCUCAUGUGAUUUUUUGCUUGCGUUGAAUAUUCUUGGAAGCAGCCUCAUUGUAAAUGAACAACGUCCACUUUACUCAUGCGCCAGUGUUCUCGGUUUUAGACAGUAAAAUGCUUGUAGUCUCUAUAAGGACGAUUCAAAAAGAAGAAAAAAAAGAACAAAGAAAAACACUGUACAGAACUCCCGCACAAAAUGAAGCAACGACGCAAACGUCUCGACUGGAACGGCAAACAGUACAAACUGAACCACAGUCAGACUGUUCCGUCAUGCGUUGGUGUGUGCGUCUGGGCGUGUGUGUGUGAGUGUGUGUCUGCGUAUGCGUGCGCCGUGUCAGUUGUGGAGGUGAAAUAGGGGAACGUUUUCUUGCAAGUCUCCCCCUCGGACAUCAAAGAUAAUCUACGGGUGAUUUAUUCGACAUUGGGAAGGUAUUAGUCACGUUGAAGAAACAUACAGUUAUCCCCAGUAGAUAUAAUGUCAUCGCAUUACCUACAAUACAGCCUUAUGAGAAAUAAAAAAUACAGAUUUUCUAUACCGAUAUUUCGUCUCAAAUUCAUUGAGCUGCAUCGUUGAGCAGCUGAUGUAUUGCCGUAUGUUCCUAUUGUGACCGUAUACCAUGUUAUAAUAUGCAGUUGGUCGGGGGAUUGACAAAGUUUCAUUUUUACAAUGAGGUAAUGUUCUGAACAGAUUUACUGCUUGGGUAAACAGGCAAUCACCUAGAGGACAAGAAGGUUCUGAAAAUGACUAGCCGACAAACAUAUGCGCACACACAGACACACUCACACCCACACACUCACACACAUAUGCACAAAUGAAUCUGUGAUUUUUCAUUUAGACAAUUCCCUGGGUGGCAGAGUGGGCUUAUCAGAAAUGCAUAUGCAAUUCAUUCAUGCAAUUAGAAUAAAGAUUUCCAAUAUGGUGCCGGAGAAAGAAAAAAGAAAACGGAUGAUUUUGAAAAUCUGCAAUAUCGUCCGUUGAUGCAAGUUUUGUUUCAUCUCCCUACGGACACGCGAGCGUGCAUUCAUCAUUUAGAAACUUGGCUGCUUCCUCUGUGGCAUUGCCUAACGGAGCUCACAGAAGGUAGGAAAGUGACAGAUGCAUCGAUCUCCCAGAGGUCUCGCCAGAACGCUGCAAAAAAAUACAAAAAAGGGUAGGACUAAUGCAGUAAUGGGAUUCUCCUUUCAUUACGAUUGCCAAUAGGAAUCCCCCUGUCCUGGAGUCUCACAUUAAAAUAGAAGAUGAGUAGUUGUUAUUGGAAAAUAGUUUGUAACAACACGUAACUCCGGCAAAUUCUGAAAUAAACAACAUUGUUUUAAUA